ACGAACGCUGGCGGCGUGCUUCACACAUGCAAGUCGAACGGAAAGGCCCUGCUUUUGUGGGGUGCUCGAGUGGCGAACGGGGGAGUAACACGUGAGUAACCUGCCCUUGACUUUGGGAUAACUUCAGGAAACUGGGGCUAAUACCGGAUAGGAGCUCCUGCUGCAUGGUGGGGGUUGGAAAGUUUCGGCGGUUGGGGAUGGACUCGCGGCUUAUCAGCUUGUUGUUGGGGUAGUGGCUUACCAAGGCUUUGACGGGUAGCCGGCCGGAGAGGGUGACCGGCCACCUUGGGCCUGAGCUACGGCCCAGUCUCCUACGGGAGGCAGCGGUGGGAAAUAUUGCACAAUGGGCCGAAGCCUGAUGCAGCAACCCCGCGUGCGGGAUGACGGCCUUCGGGUUGUAAACCGCUUUCGCCUGUGACGAAGCGUGAGUGACGGUAAUGGGUAAAGAAGCACCGGCUAACUACGUG
rnacentral:rRNA from 1 species